AAAAAAUACAAGAAAUAUAAAUUUGUUGGCUUCUGCUUGCCCUUUUCCUGGUUCUUCUUCUUCUCAUCAUUGUUCUCCUUCACAAUUUCUUCAUGCCCAUUGAUCAGCCCUUCCUCCUUGGUACUCUCAAUUUUUUCUCAUUGAUGCUUCCUUCUUCCCUGGUACUCUCUUCUUCUUACACUCUCUUCUUCUCUCAUUGACUGUACCUCCUUCCAUACUCUAUUCUGUCCUUGCCACAAAGUUACCAAAAUCAAGACGCUAGGCACUGCCUCGUUUGAAUUUAGGGUUUCCUCGUUUGAAUUUGGGGUUUCUAGAUGAUGACUGCAUUUCUAUCUAUAUUGUUGUUAUGGUUUUCAUCCACCGCUUUGAAGCCAUCACCGCCGCUGUUUGGAUUGAACAUGCCCAAACCAGUUACUGCUCAUUGCAUAUGGGUUGUUU
rnacentral:misc_RNA from 1 species